rnacentral:rRNA from 1 species
UACGUAGGGGGCAAGCGUUGUCCGGAAUCAUUGGGCGUAAAGCGCGUGUAGGCGGCUCGGUAAGUCUGCUGUGAAAGUCCAGGGCUCAACCCUGGAAUGCCGGUGGAAACUGUCGAGCUAGAGUACGGAAGAGGCGAGUGGAAUUCCUGGUGUAGCGGUGAAAUGCGCAGAUAUCAGGAGGAACACCAAUGGCGAAGGCAGCUCGCUGGGACGUUACUGACGCUGAGACGCGAAAGCGUGGGGAGCAAAC